GCCUCUUUCCAGUAUGAUGGUUAUGAUACUCGGUUCAUAAUCGAGUGCGUUCGGGUUCGAACCCCGAAUAAGGUA